CCUACGGGAGGCAGCAGUGGGGAAUUUUGGACAAUGGACGCAAGUCUGAUCCAGCCAUUCCGCGCGCAGGAUGAAGGCCCUCGGGUUGCAAACUGCUUUUGUACGGAACGAAAAGGUCUCUCUUAAUACGGGGGGCUCAUGACGGUACCGUAAGAAUAAGCACCGGCUAACUACGUG
rnacentral:rRNA from 1 species